rnacentral:misc_RNA from 1 species
GUGAAUCAUCAAAUCUUUGAACGCAAAUUGCACUUUCUGGUAUUCCGGAAAGUAUGCCUGUUUGAGGGUCAGUUAAACCUAAAUCGGCGUUGUUGCUGCUUUUGGCGGUGACGCGUCGGAAUUGAGUUGUCUUUCCUUCGCUUUAGUGACUUACAAUUUUGCAUGAAUUUCGACCGUAUUUAAAUCUCGUAGGUACGUUUGAGAUAUCGCAUACUUUAUUUG